GCCACCGUGCGCGGUGGUGCCGGCGGUGGCUCCGGUGAGCUAUGGAGAUGGUUCAACUUCCAGAGGCUUCCUCAUAAAUUUUUGUAAUUUUUGAGACACAGAUAAACUUCGGGUGAUCGAGGUCAGCUAUUUUUCUGCAUCCAGCAGCCACAAUAGUCAUCGGUGUACUGCCACAGGAGGAGUUAUUUUACAGAGCAACCUGGUUUCUUCCUCGCAGGUUUAACGUCAAUUAUUUAAUUGUUUUACUAUCUUUUCUAAAUUAAAAAUCUAGAACUCCGCAUGUGUUAGAAAUAGUGUGGACCUUGGUAGAGGUUGUGUGAACUUAAAUUUCUAAGAUUAAUAAAUGAAGAUUUGUAUGGUAUUUAAACAGUUUGUAAAUGAGGUAACAGGGUUGAGCUGGGCUCCCCUGAUUUUAGUUUCUGAAAAUUUCUGGGCUAAGUUGGCCCC